AGAGUUUGAUCCUGGCUCAGAUUGAACGCUGGCGGCAUGCCUUACACAUGCAAGUCGAGCGGCAGCGCGGGGGCAACCCUGGCGGCGAGCGGCGAACGGGUGAGUAAUGCAUCGGAACGUGUCCUUUUGUGGGGGAUAACCAGUCGAAAGACUGGCUAAUACCGCAUGAGCUCGAGAGAGGAAAGCAGGGGACCGCAAGGCCUUGCGCGAGAGGAGCGGCCGAUGCCGGAUUAGCUAGUUGGUGGGGUAAAAGCCUACCAAGGCGACGAUCCGUAGCUGGUAUGAGAGUACGACCAGCCACACUGGGACUGAGACACGGCCCAGACUCCUACGGGAGGCAGCAGUGGGGAAUUUUGGACAAUGGGGGAAACCCUGAUCCAGCCAUGCCGCGUGUGUGAAGAAGGCCUUCGGGUUGUAAAGCACUUUCGGACGGAACGAAAUCGCGUUGUCUAAUAACCAGCGUGGAUGACGGUACCGUAAGAAGAAGCACCGGCUAACUACGUGCCAGCAGCCGCGGUAAUACGUAGGGUGCGAGCGUUAAUCGGAAUUACUGGGCGUAAAGUGUGCGCAGGCGGCGUCNCAAGUCGAGUGUGAAAUCCCCGGGCUUAACUUGGGAAUUGCGCUCGAAACUACGGUGCUGGAGUGUGGCAGAGGAAGGUGGAAUUCCACGUGUAGCGGUGAAAUGCGUA
rnacentral:rRNA from 1 species